rnacentral:rRNA from 1 species
GCAUAUCAAUAAGCGGAGGAAAAGAAACUAACAAGGAUUCCCCUAGUAGCGGCGAGCGAAGCGGGAAGAGCUCAAAUUUAUAAUCUGGCACCUUCGGUGUCCGAGUUGUAAUCUCUAGAAAUGUUUUCCGCGCUGGACCGCACACAAGUCUGUUGGAAUACAGCGGCAUAGUGGUGAGACCCCCGUAUAUGGUGCGGAUGCCCAGCGCUUUGUGAUACAUUUUCGAAGAGUCGAGUUGUUUGGGAAUGCAGCUCAAAUUGGGUGGUAAAUUCCAUCUAAAGCUAAAUAUUGGCGAGAGACCGAUAGCGAACAAGUACCGUGAGGGAAAGAUGAAAAGCACUUUGGAAAGAGAGUUAACAGUACGUGAAAUUGUUGGAAGGGAAACGCUUGAAGUCAGACUUGCUUGCCGAGCAAUCGGUUUGCAGGCCAGCAUCAGUUUUCCGGGAUGGAUAAUGGUAGAGAGAAGGUAGCAGUUUCGGCUGUGUUAUAGCUCUCU